rnacentral:rRNA from 1 species
CUACGUGCCAGCAGCCGCGGUAAUACGGAAGGUCCGGGCGUUAUCCGGAUUUAUUGGGUUUAAAGGGAGUGUAGGCGGUCUGUUAAGCGUGUUGUGAAAAUUAGGUGCUCAACAUUUAACUUGCAGCGCGAACUGGCGGACUUGAGUGCACGCAACGUAUGCGGAAUUCAUGGUGUAGCGGUGAAAUGCUUAGAUAUCAUGACGAACUCCGAUUGCGAAGGCAGCGUACGGGAGUGUUACUGACGCUUAAGCUCGAAGGUGCGGGUAUCGAACAGGAUUAGAUACCCUGGUAGUCCGCACGGUAAACGAUGGAUGCCCGCUGUUAGCGCCUGGCGUUAGCGGCUAAGCGAAAGCAUUAAGCAUCCCACCUGGGGAGUACGCCGGCAACGGUGAAACUCAAAGGAAUUGACGGGGGCCCGCACAAGCGGAGGAACAUGUGGUUUAAUUCGAUGAUACGCGAGGAACCUUACCCGGGCUUGAAUUGCAGACGCAGGAUACAGAGAUGUUGA